rnacentral:misc_RNA from 1 species
CGCUUCAUUUGUCAUUAUCGCCCUAAUUUGAGUUGGAUCCCUCAGUUUCCAUCUAUCGAAGUUUUAGAUUUGAGGGCAGUGAGCGUGCAACUUGUGCAGCAAAUAUUCACAACAUCAAUAUCUUCUUCUUCGAUAGAUGGAAACUGCUUCUUCCUCAAUCAGUCCUCCUCUCUCUAAAUUGGAGAAUCUUCAGAUUGAGGAGAUUGAGGAACUCAAAUCUCUACCGUCAGAUGUAUUGCAGAAUCUCACUUCUCUUCAAACUUUAAAGAUUAGUAAUUGCCCAAGAUUAACUUCUCUGCCUCGAGAGAUGUGUUCCCUAACAUCUUUAUGAGAAUUGGAAAUUGAUGAUUGUCCCCUAUUGAACGAAAGAUGCGCAAAUAAAAAAGGCGCAGAUUGGCCUUUCAUUUCUCACAUCCCAAAU